rnacentral:rRNA from 1 species
AUUGAACGCUGGCGGCAUGCCUUUACACAUGCAAGUCAAACGCGAAAGUGGGGGCAACCCUGCGAGUAGAGUGGCGAACGGGUGAGUAAACACAUCGGAAACGUACCCAGGAGUGGGGGACAACCUCGAGAAAUCGAGGCUAAUACCGCAUACGUCCUGAGGGAGAAAGCGGGGGAUCUGCAAGGACCUCGCGCUCAUGGAGCGGCCGAUGUCGGAUUAGCUAGUUGGCGGGGUAAGAGCCCACCAAGGCUACGAUCCGUAGCUGGUUUGAGAGAACGGCCAGCCACACUGGGACUGAGACACGGCCCAGACUCCUACGGGAGGCAGCAGU